UACCAGCACCCCGAGUGGUCGGGACGUUUAUUGGGCCUAAAGCAUCCGUAGCCGGUUCUACAAGUCUUCCGUUAAAUCCAGCUGCUUAACAGAUGGGCUGCGGAAGAUACUAUGGAGCUAGGAGGCGGGAGAGGCAAGCGGUACUCGAUGGGUAGGGGUAAAAUCCGUUGAUCCAUUGAAGACCACCAGUGGCGAAGGCGGCUCACUGGCCCGGUACUGACGCUGAGGUACGAAAGCGUGGGGAGCAAACAGG
rnacentral:rRNA from 1 species